rnacentral:rRNA from 1 species
UACGUAGGGUGCAAGCGUUGUCCGGAAUUAUUGGGCGUAAAGAGCUCGUAGGCGGUCUGUCGCGUCUGCUGUGAAAACUCAGGGCUUAACCCUGAGCUUGCAGUGGGUACGGGCAGACUAGAGUGCGGUAGGGGAGACUGGAAUUCCUGGUGUAGCGGUGAAAUGCGCAGAUAUCAGGGAGGAACACCGGUGGCGGAAGGCGGGUCUCUGAGCC